rnacentral:rRNA from 1 species
UACGUAGGGGGCAAGCGUUGCCCGGAUUUAUUGGGCGUAAAGAGCGUGUAGGCGGUUUGGUAGGUCCGCUGUGAAACUCGAGGCUCAACCUCGAGACGCCGGUGGAAACCAUCAGGCUAGAGUCCGGAAGAGGAGAGUGGAAUUCCGUGGAUGUAGCGGUGAAAUGCGCAGAUAUCAGGAAGAACACCCGUGGCUAAGGCGGCUCUCUAGUACGGUACUGACGCUGAGACGCGAAAGCGUGGGGAGCGAACAGG